rnacentral:rRNA from 3 species
UACGUAGGGUGCAAGCGUUGUCCGGAAUUAUUGGGCGUAAAGAGCUCGUAGGCGGUUCGUCGCGUCGGCUGUGAAAACCUGAGGCUCAACCUCAGGCCUGCAGUCGAUACGGGCGGACUUGAGUACUGCAGGGGAGACUGGAAUUCCUGGUGUAGCGGUGAAAUGCGCAGAUAUCAGGAGGAACACCGGUGGCGAAGGCGGGUCUCUGGGCAGUAACUGACGCUGAGGAGCGAAAGCGUGGGGAGCGAACAGG